rnacentral:rRNA from 1 species
GAUUCCCCUAGUAACUGCGAGUGAAGAUGGAUGAGCCCAGCACCGAAGCCUGUGGUCAUUUGACUGCUAGGCAAUGUGGUGUUUAGGUUGGUUCUUGGCAUUACUGCUCUACUCCAAGUCCAGCAAUGAGUACGGCUUACUGGAUCGGCCCAUAGAGGGUGAAAGGCCCGUGGGAGUAGAGAUCAUGACGGUUUUGCCCUGGAUUGACCAUGGAGUCGGGUUGUUUGUGAAUGCAGCCCAAAGUGGGUGGUAAACUCCAUCUAAGGCUAAAUACUGGCACGAGUCCGAUAGUAAACAAGUACCGUGAGGGAAAGUUGAAAAGUACUUUGAAGAGAGAGUAAACAGUGCGUGAAACCGCUCAGAGGUAAACGGGUGGAGUUGAACUGCAAGCCUUGAGGAUUCAGCUGAUGAGUAUGAUAUGGGUUUGAACAUGUUGACUGGCUCUCAGAGUUCGCUUGGCGGCGAGUCCCUGUUCUUUCGAGUGGGGAUGCGUGAUGUACUUAUCAAGUACUGAGCGCUUUGAGGUGUCCGGGUCUGCUUGUCAGUGCACUUUCUCUUGGUGUUCACCACGACCGGCACUGCUGUCUGUCUGUUACGGUUAAACCGGUUAGGCUUAGUUAUUUGACUAGGCUUGAUCGGGAUGGCAGGUAGCUCAUUGAUUCUUGUCGGCCUCGGUUGGCUUGAGUUUUUGAGUGUAAUCAGCUGACUGUAGUGGAUCUGUGCAGUGUGUCGGAGCUGGCGGCUUUGGUAUGUGCAUGCGUGCUAUGGCCUUUUGGCGGAGCUAAGUCUGGUUGGCAAGUUACCUGUUUGGGCAGGUCGGUCAAUGUCUUGGUUUCGUUCAUUGGGUGGUGGCGUGUGUGAUACUAUCUUGGGCCAAUAGUCUGUGGUGUAGUGGUAAACGAUCCACCUGACCCGUCUUGAAACACGGACCAAGGAGUUUAACAUGUACGCGAGUCAUUGGGCGUUACGAAACCCAGAGGCGUAAUGAAGGUAAAGGCUCGACUUGUUUGAGCUGAGGUGAGAUCCUGCUGUUUCUUCUGCCUUGCACUAUCAAGCUUUCGAGCAGUAGGCGCAUCACCAGCCCGUCUCAUGAUGUAGCCACGUAGCCUUGUGUUAUGUGCACCGUCGGGGCGGAGCUAGAGCGUACACGUUGAGACCCGAAAGAUGGUGAACUAUGCUUGCGGAGGUUGAAGCCAGAGGAAACUCUGGUGGAGGACCGCAGCGAUUCUGACGUGCAAAUCGAUCGUCUAACGUGAGUAUAGGGGC